rnacentral:rRNA from 1 species
GUAGGGGGCAAGCGUUGUCCGGAUUUAUUGGGCGUAAAGAGCGUGUAGGCGGUCAGGUAAGUCUGACGUGAAAUGUCGAGGCUCAACCUCGAAAGGUCGUUGGAAACUGCUUGGCUAGAGUCCGGAAGAGGAGAGUGGAGUUCCUGGUGCAGCGGUGAAAUGCGCAGAUAUCAGGAAGAACACCUAUGGCGAAGGCAGCUCUCUGGGACGGUACUGACGCUGAGACGCGAAAGCGUGGGGGAGCAAACAGGAUUAGAUACCCUGGUAGUCCACGCCGUAAACGAUGGGUGCUAGGUGUGGGCGGUGUCGACUCCGUCCGUGCCGAAGCUAACGCAUUAAGCACCCCCCGCCUGGGAGUACGGCCGCAAGGCUA